GCUGGGCAUGGUGGUGCAUGCCUGUAAUCCCAGCUAUUCGGGAGGCUGAGGCAGAAGAAUCACUUGAACCUGGGAGGUGGAGGUGGCAGUGAGCCGAGAUCGCACCAUUGCACUCCAGCCUGGGCAACAAGAGUGAAACUCUGUUUCAAAAAAAAAUAGUCAACUCUCAUUUAAUAUGUUGCCACUUUUUUUUUUUUUUGAGACAGAGUAUCCCUGGGUUGCCCAGGCUGGAGUGCAGUGGCACGAUCUUGGGUCACUGAAACUUUCACCUUGUGGGUUCAAGUGAUUCUCCUGC
rnacentral:lncRNA from 1 species